ACCUUCGGGCCUCUUGCCAUCAGAUGUGCCCAGAUGGGAUUAGCUAGUAGGUGGGGUAACGGCUCACCUAGGCGACGAUCCCUAGCUGGUCUGAGAGGAUGACCAGCCACACUGGAACUGAGACACGGUCCAGACUCCUACGGGAGGCAGCAGUGGGGAAUAUUGCACAAUGGGCGCAAGCCUGAUGCAGCCAUGCCGCGUGUAUGAAGAAGGCCUUCGGGUUGUAAAGUACUUUCAGCGGGGAGGAAGGUGUUGUGGUUAAUAACCGCAGCAAUUGACGUUACCCGCAGAAGAAGCACCGGCUAACUCCG
rnacentral:rRNA from 2 species